rnacentral:rRNA from 1 species
AUACAGAGGUCUCAAGCGUUGUUCGGAUUUACUGGGCGUAAAGCGUGCGUAGGCGGCGAGGUAAGUCAGAUGUGAAAGCUCAGGGCUCAACCCUGAAAUUGCAUUUGAUACUGCCUUGCUAGAGUAAUGGAGGGGGGUCUGGAAUUCACGGUGUAGCAGUGAAAUGCGUAGAGAUCGUGAGGAACACUAGUGGCGAAGGCGAGACCCUGGACAUUUACUGACGCUCAGGCACGAAGGCUAGGGUAGCGAAGCGGAUUAGAAACCCCGGUAGUCC